rnacentral:tRNA from 1 species
GGGCUCGUAGCUCAGCGGUAGAGCAGCGGACUCAUAAUCCGUCUGGUCGCAGGUUCGAAUCCUGCCGGGCCCAC